UUAUUUCCAGGAUGUCGUGGACGUAUCUUCUCCAGAGUGUGGGUCUGCAGAGCAGGGAUGGCUUUGGUUUCCAGGUCCUCCAUGAAAAAGUUACUCAUUAUGGCUGAAAGUGGAUCUUUUUUUCAACUUUAUUUUACCAGCAUUAAAACUUUGUCUGCAGAGAGAAAAGAACGACUCCGUUUUUUGCCAGACUGGAGGAUGUUGGAGGGAGUCUGUUAAUCUCUCUGGACCUGACAUUUGAAAACCUCCACCUCUCCUCACCCUCCCAGCCCACUGAUGUGAGGAAAUCCAGCUCUGAACAGACUGAACUCCUAAAUCCCUCCUGGAAGCUUCACCCUGAACAGACAACUGCAACGCCGUGGUAACGGGCAGAUUACAGCGUCAGACGUUCCUGCAGAAACCCUCAGAGCCCAGAGGGAUUCUUACCGAUGCUCAGGAGAUGGACGAGGAGAGGAAACGUUGUCCAUCCUCCAGACGGAUCUGAAGACCCGACCGGCCUCUGGGGCGGCGUUUGGUGAAGUUAUCUCUGGAGGCUGCUGGAGGAUAAAUGUGGAGAUCUGCAGAUAGAAGCCAAGAAGAUGAACGGAGCUGGAGAGGAAGAAGAUCUACAGUGGUGUUCAAAAUAAUAGCAGUCCCACAUCACUUUAUCAGGACCGUCAGUGUUGAUUUAACUUAUUUCUAAAACAGCGGCGGACUACUUCCAGCUGCGGAGGGACACCCUUUUCCAGCUAGCUGCAAUCUGACGCAGUGACGCAGCAGAGUGCAACUGACCAGGGCGGAGGGAUACGUCAUUCUGCUGGGAGAAGAGACACAGCGAGGAGGUAAGUUAUCUUCUGAAAGUGCUUUUGAGUUUUUGUUGAUAAAAUUUAAUAACAAUGGCAGUUUCUUCUGUGAUAAAAUGGAAUAAAAUCAGCACAUUGACAGAGCUUUGCGAA